AUGGGAGUGCCAAUCCUUUUGAUCAACCAAUUGUUCUUCAACGAUGUGCUUCUAUUUGAGAUAGUUCUAAUCCUCUUCAUCGUUUGCAAGACCAGUCCUCAGCUUUUCAACCGUUAUUCUUUUCAUCCGUCUGGAGCAUUAACUUUUCCCCACCCUCUCACCUUCUUUUUCUUCAAGAAGUUAGAGAUGAUCAAGUCAUGUGUUCUUUUCUUCACGUUAACCCUCUUCAUCCUUUUUCAUUCAACUCUGCCUACCUUAAAAAUAAUAUUUGUCUGCCUAUUUUUUGACACCAAAUCAAUAUGCUCGACGUUACUCACGGGCAAUUUCUUUUCCUCUUUUUCUUCUAGAUCGAAUUAUGUUCGUUUCAGAUUUCGAAGGAUCGGAAAGCAACAAGCAGGCGGUCCAAUCCAAGCGGCCGACGAAGAGGAGAGGGGGCUAGCCGGCUAG
rnacentral:rRNA from 1 species